rnacentral:lncRNA from 1 species
GUUUAGAUUAUUAUUUUUGUUAGUUUCUUCCCUUUCGCUCAUUGCUUGAUGUUCUGGGUGACGGGUUGGCUUACCUACUGGUAGGGUAUAGUAGGUGCCAUCAUGACUCGAGAAAUCGGGUCGUGACAAAUUGGUAUCAGAGCCUCAGGUUCACCGGUCUCACUUGUACAGAGCUAACGUCUAGUAGAGUCUUGCGGAUCGGUGCGGAGACGUCCGUAACUUAUCUUCGGGAGGCUAUAGGAUGUCCUUGGAAAGAUUCCUCUUUUGAAUCACUUUCG